rnacentral:tRNA from 1 species
GCCGGUUUAGCUCAGUUGGUAGAGCGCCUGCCUUGUAAGCAUGAUGUCAGCGGUUCGAGUCCGUUAAUCGGCACCA